UACGUAGGGGGCAAGCGUUGUCCGGAAUUAUUGGGCGUAAAGGGCGCGUAGGCGGAUAGUUAAGUCCGAUGUGAAAGACCAGGGCUCAACCCUGGGGCUGCAUCGGAAACUGGUUAUCUUGAGGACAGGAGAGGAAAGUGGAAUUCCACGUGUAGCGGUGAAAUGCGUAGAUAUGUGGAGGAACACCAGUGGCGAAGGCGGCUCACUGGACCGGUACUGACGCUGAGGCGCGAAAGCGUGGGGAGCAAACGGG
rnacentral:rRNA from 1 species